UUCCCUAUAACCCUAGCGUCAUCGAACCUUAAGUGUGUAGACCCUACGGGUUCGGGAGACACGCAGACAUGACUGAGACACCUCUCUGGCCAAUAACCAUCAGCGGGGUCUGGAUACCCAUGGUGGCUCCCACUUGCUCCACGAUGAUCUCAUCGGGUGAACCACGAUGUCAAGGAUUCAAUCAAUCCCGUAUAUGAUUCCCUUUGUCUGUCGGUAUAGAACUUGCCCGAGAUUCGAUCGUCGGUAUACCAAUACCUUGUUCAAUCUCGUUACCAGUAAGUCUCUUUACUCGUUCCGUAGCACAUCAUCGUGUGACAAACUCCUUAGUCACAUUGAGCUCAUGAUGAUGUUCUACCGAGUGGGCCCAGAGAUACCUCUCCGUCACACGGAGUGACAAAUCCCGAUCUCGAUUCGUACCAACCCAACAGACACUUUCGGAGGUACCCAUAGUGCACCUUUAUAGUCACCCAGUUACGUUGUGACGUUUGAUACACCC
rnacentral:lncRNA from 1 species